CCCUUAGAUGUUCUGGGCUGCACGCGCGCUACACUGAUGCACUCAACGAGUUUACGACCUUGCCCGAUAGGGUUGGGUAAUCUUUUUAAAAUGCAUCGUGAUGGGGAUAGAUUAUUGCAAUUAUUAAUCUUCAACGAGGAAUUCCUAGUAAGCGCGAGUCAUCAGCUCGUGCUGAUUACGUCCCUGCCCUUUGUACACACCGCCCGUCGCUCCUACCGAUCGAAGAGUUAGGUGAAUUGUUUUGAUCGAUAAGAUUUGACUAUGGUCAACUCUCGUUGUGAAAUUCUGUGAAUCUGACUGUUUAGAGGAAGGAAAAGUCGUAACA
rnacentral:rRNA from 1 species